rnacentral:rRNA from 1 species
AGUCACUGAACAUUAGAUACCCCGGUAGUCCCAGCCGUAAACGAUGUGCGUUAGGUGUAUCGACGACCACGAGUUGUCGAGGUGCCGAAGGGAAACCGUGAAACGUACCGCCUGGGAAGUACGGUCGCAAGGCUGAAACUUAAAGGAAUUGGCGGGGGAGCACCACAACAGGUGGAGCCUGCGGUUUAAUUGGACUCAACGCCGGACAUCUCACCGGAUAAGACAGCUGAAUGAUUGCCGGGCUGAAGACUCUGCAUGACUAGCUG